CCCCCCCGCACCCUCGCGUCGCUCCCCACACGCGAGCGAGCCAACACGCAUACGGAACGGGCCUCGUCUCCCCCUCCGUUCCUCCCCCCGCCUUAUCCUCUCCGGACCGGAGCGAGCGAGCGCCCCACCGCUCCCUGCUCCCCCCCUCCUCCCGAUGGCGUCCCUCACCACCACCACCGCCUCCUCGCCCGCCGCCCUGCCCGCGGCGGCCUCCGCCGCCCCGGCCACGGCCUCGUCCGUCUCGCCCACCGCGGCCGCCUCCAAGCGCCCGCACCUCGCCGGCGACGACGCGCCCUGGCGCGUCGCGGCCGCCGGCUCCGCCGGAAUCCGUCCCGUCCCGCGCAUCCACCACGCCCCCGUCCUCCGCGUCGCCCAGGACGACUCCUCCGCGUACGCCCUCGCCAUCAUGAGGAAUCCGGAUCCGAUAGGGAUGGGGCUGGCCAUGGAGGCCGUAGCUGAGGCUGCUGGCCCGGAGUGCCUCGUGCCCGGCCAGCAGGCGCCUCUGCGGCUGAUGGGACUCAAGGUUUGGCCCCUAGAUAUAGAGAUGGAAGUUCUUGGAACCAUUUGGCCGGGAAUUACACUCCAUGAAGAAGUUCAUGGACAAAUCAUGCAGCGUCAUGGACUCAUCUUCUAUAGCACAUAAGUAGGCGCGCAUGCCAGAUUGGUUCCUUCCCACUACCUAGCUGAUGUUGUUUGUACCCAGACUACCCACAGUGCCUGAUGAAGCUACAAGACCGCAAAUAGACGAGCCCACGGAGAACCAACAUCCUUGUGUAUCUUGAGCUGCUGCAUCACUUGAUGGAACGAGAUAUGGUUGUCUGGAACACAGCAGGAUUAGCAAGUAAUUUCGAGGGUAAUCUUGUAUGCGCCCUGGGCUCAGUUUGUGCCGCGAUAAAUUGUUUUCAACAUGUAAUACAUUUGUUAUAUUCAUGAGCCGUUGAGAACACAA